UAGGGAAUCUUCCGCAAUGGACGAAAGUCUGACGGAGCAACGCCGCGUGAGUGAAGAAGGAUUUCGGUUCGUAAAACUCUGUUGUUAGGGAAGAAAAAAUGUAUAGUAACUAUAUACAAAAGAGACGGUACCUAACCAGAAAGCCACGGCUAACUACGUGCCAGCAGCCGCGGUAAUACGUAGGUGGCAAGCGUUGUCCGGAAUUAUUGGGCGUAAAGCGCGCGCAGGUGGUUUAGAAAGUCUGAUGUGAAAGCCCACGGCUCAACCGUGGAGGGUCAUUGGAAACUAAUAAACUUGAGUGCAGGAGAGAAAAGUGGAAUUCCUAGUGUAGCGGUGAAAUGCGUAGAUAUUAGGAGGAAUACCUGUGGCGAAGGCGACUUACUGGACACAAAUCUGACGCUGAGGAACGAAAGCGUGGGUAGCAAACAGG
rnacentral:rRNA from 1 species